CAGUAGCAUUCCUCGCUGACGUUACCCGACGGGGCAUGCAAGUGCCACGACGAGAGUCGUUAAGUUGGGACAAAAUCGCUAGCGACGGGCAUAGACGAGACAUUGCCGUCGUACCCAAUGCAUAUUCCGCAUUCGAGAGCUCAAGCGAGCGUUCAUGGGCCAAACCAACUGCGAUUGUAAUUCGAGUUAUGUGGGACACAAACGACGCUUCAAGGUUCACUGCGGCGAAAGCCCAUGCAAAACGAGCAGACACCGAGUGAAUGAUACACGAUUGGGCAGGAUAAUUCCGUAUAGUAGGCAUGCAACACAGGAAACCAUAGAAAACGGGCAGCCAAGGCAACGUGCUCUUGUACCAUCAAAUGAAAAGGGCCGCACGACCGACCGUCACUGCCACAGCAAUGAUCCAAC
rnacentral:misc_RNA from 1 species